GAUGAACGCUGGCGGCGUGCUUAACACAUGCAAGUCGAACGAAGCGCUUAAGGACAAUUCUUCGGAGGCGUACUUUUGCGACUGAGUGGCGGACGGGUGAGUAACGCGUGGGUAACCUGCCCUAUACAGGGGGAUAACAGUUAGAAAUGACUGCUAAUACCGCAUAAGCGCACUAGAACCGCAUGGUUCGGUGUGAAAAACUGAGGUGGUAUAGGAUGGACCCGCGUCUGAUUAGCUUGUUGGUGGGGUAACGGCUCACCAAGGCGACGAUCAGUAGCCGGCCUGAGAGGGCGACCGGCCACAUUGGGACUGAGACACGGCCCAA
rnacentral:rRNA from 1 species